rnacentral:rRNA from 1 species
UACGUAGGUGGCGAGCGUUAUCCGGAAUUACUGGGUGUAAAGGGCGUGUAGGCGGGGAAGUAAGUCAGAUGUGAAAUUCCGGAGCUCAACUCCGGCGCUGCAUCUGAAACUGCAUCUCUUGAGUACUGGAGAGGAAAGUGGAAUUCCUAGUGUAGCGGUGAAAUGCGUAGAUAUUAGGAGGAACACCAGUGGCGAAGGCGGCUUUCUGGACAGUAACUGACGCUGAGGCGCGAAAGCGUGGGGAGCAAACAGG